UCUUUAAAUUUUGCAAAAUCAAGAAUACACCCGUUCUCUGGGUUUGAACAUACUCUGAUGUUUUAUUCUGAAAUGAGAAUUUCAGAUCACAAAGGGACAGAGACCAGCCAAGUGCUUUCCCUGGAGACUACUGAAGCGGUCUCCAGUUGUCCUAUUUGCACUGCAGCGAGCUAGCUCAAGACAGGCCUGAAAAGCCAGAGUGGUGCUGGCCCCUGCCUUGCCAUGGAAAUGAUGAGACACGGGAAGAUCUUUUCUAGGUCACCUGCUGCUUUUCCAAGGCUGGAAAGAAUCCAGCAUGCCAACGCUUUGUCUCCAUACUCCUAAAUCCUGAGAGAGAAAAUGCUGAGCAGCAUAUCAUGUCUGGCAUCGGCAUCGCAAUGAUCAGAGAAGAAACAGCAUGCCUUCCAUCUGCCCUCCUGAGAUGAGCAGACACAAGGCAUGUGCAGACCUUGGUGACCCAGAAGAACAUUAGAUGAUUUGAAAGCCGUAUGAAUAACUUUCUUGAGUACUG